rnacentral:sRNA from 1 species
GCAAUAUUUGCUCGCCUCCAGAGCUUAGCUCGAAAAUAUGUGAACGAAUCUCAUCAUCAAAUGGUAUUGUAGACAGUGUUGUUCGAGUUGGUCUUGGUGUAAGCCACAGAAGGUGAAACUAGAGAUCUUCCUUGAAUUGAGUGAAAGACGUUGGGGAGCCAUCAAUCUCUGUGUGUUACUCCCAGCGGUAUUAACAAUGGACCAGGAGGCUAAGAGCAACAAGUCGGAAAGGGUUGGCUGGCUCUGACAGUCGUUGUCGUUGAGACUUGUGACUCCUGAAAGGGCAUCAUUAUCCUGACAUCAAGACCUCGGCCCGCGUUCACCAGCCAUCUUCACCACGAAGAGAGAAAGCUGCUGGCUGGAGCUGAGAAGGGGGAUGGAGCUGGUGCUAAGGAUGAGGAUGAAGCUCAGAUGGAGGAUGCCACUGCCUGAAAUGAUAUCGUGUUCUCACAUGCGUCACUUCCUCCUUGUGCAUCUGUGUGCUUGAGCAACAACUGUAAGUUUUGUUUGCAUUCAUGCCCCAGGAUUCAUUGUAAUGUGGGGCUUGGGUAACGUGCAGUAGUCGAAGCUCAGAGCGAGCCACAGCCACAGCUAAAGCCACGUUAACGUGUGCGGCAACGUUUACGGUUUAGAGGUUCCUGUUCCGGUUCUGUUUUCUUUUUCCGCUUUUUAAUUUCCGUUCCAUUGCGCUGCCUGUUGUAGCCUUGGGUGGCGGGCAGUUGUGGCAGUCCUGCUGCUCCUUGCAUGGCUCCUUGGUGGAUGCUGUCGACCAGAACAACAUGGAUGGGCACGAGGCAUGGCCCACCCUCUCACUAUCUCUUCAGGAAUGCCAUAGCCUGAUGAAAUGAAACUUGGCCUCGUCUCUGCAGCCCCCGCCAUUGGAUUCAAUGAGGCUUCGAGGCUACUUCCGGGAUCCACUAUGACCAGAAUGACAAAUAUUUCUCAACCCCGCCCGCGGCAGGAUUCUCUACUUCUCCUUCCCAUUCCCCAUCGACUUUGACAGCUGGAAUGCCGUCUGAUCGGGGCAGAAAAAUAAACUCUUCCCGCGACCACAACUUU